rnacentral:lncRNA from 11 species
AGAAAACCUUGCAAAAAUGUAGAAGUGGCUGUGACAGAAUCCAAUCUCUGAUGUACUGGUCCUUUCAAAAUAUAUAUCUAACUCUAUAUUUAUAUAUCUAUAUUUCCUUCCACUUCAGAAACACUCUUUUAGCAUCAUAACAGCAAAGUGGAUGAGCAAGAGCUGACCGGUCAGUGAUAAAUCCAGAUGAAAACAGAUGUGGCAGCAGCCAUUGUGGUACCCAAGUCUCACCUUUCACUUUGCAUCACCUUUAUAUCUAGAAGCAAGAGCCUAGAUGAAAUGCGCCUUAUCUCAUCUCCCUAAGAAAGACAUCAAGACCUGUCUAUCCGUCAUCUGCCCUGUCUUUACAAGAUAGCAUCCCUAGCACCUGAUGUGAUGAAUAUUCUGAAAUGAUGGAUGAUCUCGAAUUUAUAUUGCUAGAUGGGAAAUUAAUGUGAGAAUAAACUUUCUCAAGAAUUAAGGCUGUGGUAUGUGUGGUAAGUUUU